ensembl:lncRNA
GCUGGGUCAGAUGCAGAAUGAGUUGCAAGCAGAUAGUGGGGAGCGCUUGGAUCUGCUUUAUUUUCCCUCCCAGAGAAGUUUAUUUUUAAACCUGUUAAAAAUGUUCCUGCACCUUAAGUCGUGCUGAAGUUAAGGCCAAGGGUGCAGAAUCUUGUGCACAUGUGAGAGCACACUAGAGGUGCGUGCACCAUUUGAUGUCGUGUUGAGACCACUGCAUACACUUUGGUCACUGGUGUGUGCAAAGGGUAUAGUAGGGGAAUGCCCCAGGAAAGAGGUGCAGACAUCAGCAAAGCCCUUUGGGAACAUCAGAGAGGGAAACAAGGGCAGGCAGAACCCCAGCGAUGGGAGAAAGCACACUGAUAAGCAAGGACCUCCAGACAAACAACAGAAGUAAAAUGCAAGGUUACAGUGCCAGUCAGAAGAUGGGCAAGGGAUGUCUAUCAGUUUCAUCCAUAUUCCUCCCUCAAAGGAAGUCGUCACUAAACAGAUCAGGGAAAGCACUUUUGACAACAGCUUCUUAACACAUAUGGAUUUGAGUUAAAAUGAGAUAAAAGUGGGAGUCUUCUACUCUGUUUCGAGGGAGCCCAAGGUCUAGGAGGGCAGCAUCUGUCAGCGUCCUCACAAGCAGCAUGUGUCAACAAGAAUGUCUAAGAAUGUCAGCUUUAAGCUGAAUUUCCUUCUAAGUAAGAAAUACAUUUCCAGAGCAUUGCUGAAAAUGCCACUGGACAGACUGCAAAAUCAGGGACUAAUCUCCACUGGGGAUUAAAGAAUCACACUAAAGAGCAAGUGUGUAUAUGUGAAAACACACAUGCACAUGCACGUGCACGCACACAUUUCACAUGCUCACACACACACGCACACACGCACACACAGGACAGAGAAGUCAAAGAGAAGUCAAGGUCUUGAGGUCCUGGGUACAAAACCUUCUUGAAGUCCCUGCAUCAUAUAUGGAAGAGAGAAAUUCAGAUCUCCCCAUCCCCUACCCGGGGCCUUGGUGCUGGGAUAGAUGGUGUUAGUUAGGGCAGGGGUAGCCACUGGUCUGCUGCCCUGUACUGCAGGGAGAAGGAACACCAGGAGAGAAUAACCAAACCACAAACCCAAAGCCAUUCCACCGGACUGCUUUGCUUUUUUCUUCAUCAACAAGAAAAGAAUUCAGAUCUGAAACUUCUGACAGCUUAACAUGCAAACAUCAUAUUUUAGGGCUAUUUUCACAGCAAAGAAAAUGUUUCAAAGACUUAUCCGGUAUUUACACAUCCUUAUUUUAUAAAGAAUAGCUCACAGAUGUCAAGAAAGGGGGAGUGAAGGGUUUACAUUGCAGGGGAAAUAUACCAUGAGGUAUCAUUUUGUGUCAGACACUUGAAACAUCAGGAUUUUCUUGCUGCUGUUUUGCUUUUGUUUAAAGGCAAUUGAACAGAUUGGAACCCUGAUACGAUCAUGUCUGUGUAGCCCCAACACAGACACAAAGAGACUGUGGUCAAGUCUGUCACUCAUUACAGUACUGUGAACGUAACAGAGGUUGCUGGGUGGGAAACACUGACAGCAGGCUGAGCAACUCUGGCUUCCAUAGUACGUGCUGUAAUAAUGCCUAGACCAGAGCGAUGCAGGCGCUAUGACUUUCCAUGGUCCAACUCUACACAGGAAUUGUAACAACAGAGAAAGUGUGAAAGAAAGCCUUCCAGUGUCCCACGACUCACCACACCACCAGCUCAGUACAGGCAAGGGAAUCAGAGAUCAGGGAUAGCAGACAUGGAAGAGAACAGCCCUCUUUCUCAGCUCAUAAUUAGGAAUGGUACCCUACACAAUGACUGAAAACAAAGAAAUGUAAAAGGAGAGGAUGAACUCUCAGGUCAGCAGAGUGUGGCAUGGUUUCCUGAGCUUGAAAGGGUUCUGAGUUCAGAGAAUACUGGAGCCUGUGAGCUUCCACAGCUGCCUUAGAUUAACACUGCAUGGCCAGUAUCAAGAAUCCUGCACCAUAACGAUAGACAGGCAUGGCAGACCCCGCCCCCAAUUUUGCUUGGCAAUCAGACCUGCCCGAGGGUGGGGUCUGAGAGGUCCCUCUCGCCCUAACUCUGCUGACCUGGCGAGAGCCUUCUCUUCUUCUUUUCUUCCCUUCCCAGACAUGGGGAAUCCAUGGACACAGAAACUUGAAUACAUAAGGACACAAACAGGCUUCUUUCCCUGCCUUCCCCCUUUCAGAAAAUGCAUAGUUACAAAUUCAGGAUAUAAAAUGGAGGAAGGAUGACCACAUUUGGACUUUUUUUUUUUUUUUUUUUUUUUUUGGAAAAAAACAAAACAAAACCACCCCCCCCCAAAACAAAUCCAACAACCUCUAGUUAAAUUCACAUUUGCAUAAUAAUACAUCCCAAGGCAAUGAGAGGAGUGAGUGAGGCCUCCCUUUGUCUUCCCUAAUGAAGCUGAAGGAAUCUAGGGAGCACUUUCCUGGGGGGGGCACUAAGGAUGGUGGACAGGGUCCUUGGCAUUCACUGGACGCUUCUUUAGAAGACUGGGGGUAGCAGAGGAGGUGGGGUCAUUGAAAACAAACAUGAAACAUGAAAAGAUUAUAGAUUUUCAAGUUUAACUACAACAGUUCUCAAAAACUACAAUGGGAUUUCAGAGGUUUCUUCUUUUUUAAACACCGGUUUCAAUUCUUUCAAAACCUUUCCUUUGUGUGCAAUAAAUACCCUGUUCACAGAAAUAGCAACAUUGAUGUGACUUGCAUUUGGGAAAUCAUGACCUUCUAAGGCAGAGAGGGUUUAAAGAAAAA